GGAGAGAAGAGGUUGUAGGGGUCAACCCAGAGUGGCCUGAGGAGAUCGGAGGAGGAUCAGUGAAGGGGAAACCAUUUUUCAGGUCAGGAGAACAAGAGUGGGAUAAGACCGCUGCGCCCCGAGCACUAUGAUGUAUUCAUCGUGAAGCAGACGCUGCCGUCUCUACCCUUGUCUCAUGCCUCAGGUCUAUCAGACAACAUUUUGGGGCCACAGGAAAGCUGCUCACAUUUUGAUCUUGUGAGUUUCUCUGGCUACAAUCCUGCUCUAACCAUUCACCACCUAGGUGCCAUUGUACCUCUCCAUGGAAGGAUUGAUUAUUUUGAUGAAUGGACACGAGAAAAAGAAGAAGAGAGAGGCAACAUGCUGUACAAAGGCAACUGAUUGUAAUUCAUUCACGUCAUUGGAACACUUCACCUUAAGAUCAGAACUCCUCAAAACUUCAAAUAAAUUCACUGAAGGACAUGAAAGCAUGAGAGUGAAUAUCCAUGAAACAAUGACCAAACAACCUCUUUCCAAUAAUAAAAGGUUGAUGUAGAAAAGCUGGAAUUACAGCAGAGUUAAAAAUUUACCCUUGCCUUCAGUAUGACAGCAUAUGCUUUGACAAUCUGAAGUAAAGAUCAUUUGGAGAUGAAGCCCUCAAACCUGGGUCAGAACACACAGUCCACUGAAGUACCAUCAUUCCUAACUUCCUGUAUGCUCCUGGGGCUUGACUUGUUUUUACGGUAGGUACCUUGUAGCACUAAGGACAUGUCGUUGUUGCAUUGCUGUCUCAACAAAAGCAUAAGUCUACCAACAGAACAAUUAAACAUCAGCACCUUCUUCUAGAACAAUUCUCCAGCAUUACAAUAUAGAGUCAUAAAGUCUCAGAAACAGGCCCAUCAGCCCAUCUAGUCCAUGCCAAACUAUUAUUCUGCCUAGUUCCAUUGACCUGUACCCAGACCAUAGCCCUCCAUACCCCUCGCAUCGACAUAACUGCUAGGGUGUUUUUAGGGUUAGGACAUAUAGCAAACAUCUUCAGCAACUACCUUCAGCCAUCAAUCUUCAAAUCUGAAUAUGGACUGUAGAUUAAAUUUAAAAUGGAGCUCUAAACAAUGGGUUCCUAAGAGACGUGAAUUACAGUUAAUUGGAAGACCAGACAAUGUUGAUUAAAAUUCACUUGGGUGUCUAUGGUAUGGGUACAAAGUAGGAGGUGUGAAGUUUGUGUGCAGUUCAAAAGAAGCAUUGUGGAUGCAUUAUAAAUAUGGAAUUG